AACGUAGGAGGCGAGCGUUAUCCGGAUUUACUGGGUGUAAAGCGCGUGCAGGCGGUUUACUAAGUUGGAUGUGAAAGCUCCUGGCUCAACUGGGAGAGGUCGUUCAAAACUGGUAGACUCGAGAGCAGUAGGGGAAGGUGGAAUUCCGGGUGUAGUGGUGAAAUGCGUAGAUAUCCGGAGGAACACCAGUGGCGAAGGCGGCCUUCUGGACUGCAUCUGACGCUCAGACGCGAAAGCUAGGGUAGCAAACGGG
rnacentral:rRNA from 1 species